GGCCGGUUGCCCGAGUGGUUCAAGGGAGUCCUCUGCAAAAGGAAUGUCCGCAAGUUCGAAUCUUGUACCGGCCUC
rnacentral:tRNA from 1 species